rnacentral:rRNA from 1 species
AUUGAACGCUGGCGGCAGGCUUAACACAUGCAAGUCGAGCGGAGAUGAGGUGCUUGCACCUUAUCUUAGCGGCGGACGGGUGAGUAAUGCUUAGGAAUCUGCCUAUUAGUGGGGGACAACAUUCCGAAAGGAAUGCUAAUACCGCAUACGUCCUACGGGAGAAAGCAGGGGACCUUCGGGCCUUGCGCUAAUAGAUGAGUCUAAGUCGGAUUAGCUAGUUGGUGGGGUAAAGGCCUACCAAGGCGACGAUCUGUAGCGGGUCUGAGAGGAUGAUCCGCCACACUGGGACUGAGACACGGCCCAGAAUCCUACGGGAGGCAGCAGUGGGGAAUAUUGGACAAUGGGCGGAAGCCUGAUCCAGCCAUGCCGCGUGUGUGAAGAAGGCCUUUUGGUUGUAAAGCACUUUAAGCGAGGAGGAGGCUACUUAGAUUAAUACUCUAGGAUAGUGGACGUUACUCGCAGAAUAAGCACCGGCUAACUCUGUGCCAGCCGCCGCCGUAACAC